GACGAACGCUGGCGGCGUGCCUAAUACAUGCAAGUAGAACGCUGAAGACUUUAGCUUGCUAAAGUUGGAAGAGUUGCGAACGGGUGAGUAACGCGUAGGUAACCUGCCUACUAGCGGGGGAUAACUAUUGGAAACGAUAGCUAAUACCGCAUAACAGCAUUUAACCCAUGUUAGAUGCUUGAAAGGAGUAAUUGCUUCACUAGUAGAUGGACCUGCGUUGUAUUAGCUAGUUGGUGAGGUAACGGCUCACCAAGGCGACGAUACAUAGCCGACCUGAGAGGGUGAUCGGCCACACUGGGACUGAGACACGGCCCAGACUCCUACGGGAGGCAGCAGUAGGGAAUCUUCGGCAAUGGGGGCAACCCUGACCGAGCAACGCCGCGUGAGUGAAGAAGGUUUUCGGAUCGUAAAGCUCUGUUGUAAGAGAAGAACGUGUGUGAGAGUGGAAAGUUCACACAGUGACGGUA
rnacentral:rRNA from 1 species